CUGCAAACAAGAUCACUAGCCCAGUAUGUUAUUGCUGAAGCAAGGGGAACAUGUUUGCUACAGUAAGAAGUGGAUGUAGAAGCACUUAGCCUAUAAAAUGCCACUGGGCCACAACUUCUAUACCCACUCACAU
ensembl:snoRNA SNORA66 Small nucleolar RNA SNORA66